rnacentral:rRNA from 1 species
CCUACGGGGGGCAGCAGUGAGGAAUAUUGGUCAAUGGGCGCGAGCCUGAACCAGCCAAGUCGCGUGAGGGAAGACGGUCCUAUGGAUUGUAAACCUCUUUUGUCGGGGAGCAAAAGACGCCACGCGUGGCGUUCCGAGAGUACCCGAAGAAAAAGCAUCGGCUAACUCCGUGCCAGCAGCCGCGGUAAUACGGAGGAUGCGAGCGUUAUCCGGAUUUAUUGGGUUAAACGGUUGCGCAGGCGGAAGAUCAAGUCAGCGGUAAAAUUGAGAGGCUCAACCUCUUCGAGCCGUUGAAACUGGUUGUCUUGAGUGAGUGAGAAGUAUGCGGAAUGCGUGGUGUAGCGGUGAAAUGCAUAGAUAUCACGCAGAACUCCGAUUGCGAAGGCAGCAUACCGGCGCUCAACUGACGCUCAUGCACGAAAGUGUGGGGAUCGAACAGGAUUAGAUACCCCAGUAGUC